rnacentral:rRNA from 1 species
UUAUCGCCGAUCGCCUUGAGUUGAUCAUGGCUCAGAACGAACGCUGGCGGCAUGCCUAACACAUGCAAGUCGAACGGGAUCCGGACUUCGGUUCGGUGAGAGUGGCGGACGGGUGAGUAACGCGUGGGAACCUGCCCAGUGGUGGGGGAUAACUGCGGGAAACUGCAGCUAAUACCGCAUGAGCCCGAGAGGGGAAAGAUUUAUCGCCAUUGGAGGGGCCCGCGUUCGAUUAGGUAGUUGGUGAGGUAAUGGCUCACCAAGCCGACGAUCGAUAGCUGGUCUGAGAGGAUGAUCAGCCACACUGGGACUGAGAUACGGCCCAGACUCCUACGGGAGGCAGCAGUGGGGAAUAUUGGACAAUGGGGGCAACCCUGAUCCAGCAAUGCCGCGUGAGUGAUGAAGGCCUUCGGGUUGUAAAGCUCUUUUGCCAGGGACGAUAAUGACGGUACCCGCAGAAGAAGCCCCGGCUAACUUCGUGCCAGCAGCCGCGGUAAUACGAAGGGGGCUAGCGUUGUUCGGAAUUACUGGGCGUAAAGCGCGCGUAGGCGGACGCUUAAGUCAGGGGUGAAAUCCCAGGGCUCAACCCUGGAAUGGCCUUU